GACGAACGCUGGCGGCGUGCUUAACACAUGCAAGUCGAGCGGUAAGGCCCUUUCGGGGGUACACGAGCGGCGAACGGGUGAGUAACACGUGGGUGACCUGCCUUCAGCUCUGGGAUAAGCCUGGGAAACUGGGUCUAAUACCGGAUAUUCACUGGUCCUCGCAUGGGGGUUGGUGGAAAGUUUUUUCGGCUGGAGAUGGGCCCGCGGCCUAUCAGCUUGUUGGUGGGGUGAUGGCCUACCAAGGCGACGACGGGUAGCCGGCCUGAGAGGGCGACCGGCCACACUGGGACUGAGAUACGGCCCAGACUCCUACGGGAGGCAGCAGUGGGGAAUAUUGCGCAAUGGGCGGAAGCCUGACGCAGCGACGCCGCGUGGGGGAUGACGGCCUUCGGGUUGUAAACCUCUUUCGACCGGGACGAAGCGCAAGUGACGGUACCGGUAGAAGAAGCACCGGCCAACUACGUGCCAGCCGCCGCGGUAAGAC
rnacentral:rRNA from 1 species